AUUUCCUGGAGAAGAUGGAUUGUGGUCAAGUUUUAGAAGACAGAGAGAUGUAGAUUGGAAUCCAGGCAGUGAGAGCCAAGCACAUGGAAAAUGUCUUAUCCAGUUUUGAGUUGUUCUUCACUAAUCUACCCCAGUAAUUCUCUUAGCCCAGAGCUCUCCAAGGUGAUUAUGCUCAGCUUUUCUACUGCAAAGACAUGCUGAUUUAGAAUAAUAAUAGAAUAGACUCGAAGAAUGCAAGAGCUGGAAGGAAUGUAGGAUGUCAGAACUGGAAAGGACUUUGGAACAUAGAAUUUCAGAGUCUUUGCAGAUUUUUCAAGCAGUGUGACUCUUAGAGAACCUGACUUCCAGUGGAAGAAGGGAGCUUACCAUCAAGUAACCACUGAAUCACACUCCAUAUCGGGAAAACCUACUUCGUGGAGAGUCUGGGAAUCACAAAGGCCUAUUCGAAUUUGUCAAACAUCAGUCAGGACAGCGGUAGUCACAGGGUGGAUUUGGAGAGGAGGAAAAUCAGCAUGAUGGAGUACUGAGGAUGCUGGAUGCAACACAGGGGAAUAUCUUCCAGCUCUGGUGCUUAGUAGUUAUUGAGUUUCAGGCAAGUCACCUCACCUGCAUACAGUCAGUGCUCAAUAAGCUUUCACUAAAUAAAUGAACAAAGUAGUAUACAUUAUCUUCUUUGAGCUUCA